GAGUUUGAUCGUGGCUCAGAUUGAACGCUGGCGGCAUGCCUCACACAUGCAAGUCGAACGGCAGCACGGGAGCUUGCUCCUGGUGGCGAGUGGCGAACGGGUGAGUAAUGCAUCGGAACGUAUCCUGGAGUGGGGGAUAACGUAGCGAAAGUUACGCUAAUACCGCAUAUUCUGUGAGCAGGAAAGCGGGGGACCUUCGGGCCUCGCGCUCUUGGAGCGGCCGAUGUCGGAUUAGCUAGUUGGUGAGGUAAAGGCUCACCAAGGCGACGAUCCGUAGCAGGUCUGAGAGGAUGAUCUGCCACACUGGAACUGAGACACGGUCCAGACUCCUACGGGAGGCAGCAGUGGGGAAUUUUGGACAAUGGGGGCAACCCUGAUCCAGCCAUGCCGCGUGAGUGAAGAAGGCCUCGGUUGUAAG
rnacentral:rRNA from 1 species